UAAAAAUCGAAAGCGCUACUUCAUAUAAAAACACAAGUUGUUUAGUAUGUAUUUUCCUGCCAUAGUGCUGAUUAUUUAGUUUUUCUUAAUAAUCAUGGUGCAGAAAGUUGCUAUGGAAAAGCCAUCUGUCCAAAAUGUGGCAAGGAGAACCACAGCAAAGGAAAAUCUCGCUAGAAAUGUUGCAUUAAUUGCAGGGGGUGAUCAAUCAUCCAGCAUAAUCUUGAUCUUGCCCUGUAUGCAAGAUCACCGUCACUCAAUCUGUUCAAAUCAACAAGAAUAUAAAGCCAAAGUAAUGCAAACAGAUCACUCUGCUAAAAUUGGCAUAUUUUACAACUAAGUUUUUUAUUUUCGGUCAAAUGUUUAUAAACAUUUUCAGAAUAAAUUUUAACUGAUUUGCUUGCUGUCUUUUUAUUAAUUAAUAAUAAUGGCUUAAAUAUUGGUCUGAGAAAGAGUCAAAAUUCUUGCUCUGCCUUUACAAGAUAAUUGGAGCCAAUGCCAUUUACUUUGAUUUUAAUGUCAGUAUAGAUACAUAAUAAGCUGCAAUAUAAAAUCUAUUAAUUUGAUUUUUAUUUCAUUGGAGAUAGACAAAAGAAAAGCAUAAAUGUGGGAACUCAAAAAAAUCAUUACAUUUUAAACUAUAUAAUGUUUUUAUAACUCAGUUUACAAAUGCUUAUUAAUUCCUCAAUUUUAAAUACUACAUUAACCAUUAC
rnacentral:lncRNA from 1 species